rnacentral:lncRNA from 1 species
CAAGUACAAGCUCGAUUCCAUGAGGCAGGAGAUGGAGGCGGAGGAGUCCCACCCCAUGGUGCUCGUCCAAAUACCCAUGUUCAACGAGAAAGAGGUACGCCAAUGGCCGGCCAUUCGGCUCAUCAUCUAACAACUCUGCAAUCGCCCAUCCAAACAGAUGUUGUCAGUUCGUAAUUAUGUGAUUAGCUUUUAUGAAUCAUAUAGUUGGUAAUGAAGAGGAACACAAAUGCUAAGCACGCGAUGACAGGUAUACCGCUUAUCGAUCGGGGCAGCCUGCGCCAUGUCAUGGCCGUCUAACAAGAUGAUAGUUCAAGUUCUCGAUGACUCCACUGAUCCCGUCAUCAAGGUGAUGAUACCUGCACCUGCAACAGAGAAAGAACCACCGUGGCAACGACAUGCGAUGGAUGAUGCUUUGCUCACCUGCGAUGCUUGCUUUUGGUUGCCGUGGUCGUCGCAGGAGAUGGUGGAAUACG